rnacentral:misc_RNA from 1 species
GGGCGUUCAAACCAUGGAAUCAUAAGGUGUGUCCCUUCAGGGUAAACCUUGUCUUUGACACCAACUAUACGGUUGAACACAAUGGCCCGAUGCCCUCCCUCAACAUUGUAGAGACUAUUAGCAGCUGCAUACACAACAAUCCCACCAAUAACACCAAGCUUAAGCAAAGUGGAGGCUGCACCACCGCCUGGCACCUUAGGAACUUUGACCUUGCUGAAAUUCAUUUUUUCCAAAAGCUUGUAGCCUUCUACUUCUCGAGGUGGAGAGAGAGAGAGAGAGAGAGAGAGA